UGUAAAAUUCUUUAAGGUUUUUUUUUGGAAAAUUGCAGUACAUAUACAUGAAAACUUGGAUAGACAAGCAAAUAAAAUAGUACUGAAAAGGUAGAGAGAGAAAGAGAGAAAACGUGUGUGAGAGAAGGCCGGCGUCCGGCUGCGCGUCCGAGCGCGUGCCGGCGCCGGUGGCUCUUCCCCUUGUCGAUCCAGUCUAGAUCUACUCUGUGUGCUUCGAUCCGGUGUCCCUUCCGAUAUAUUUCCGAAUCUGGGUUAGGGUUUGUUCCGGGAAGAGUUCUGCUGAUGGAGAGCUUCAAUCGGCGGCAAAUCCUCCUGUUCUGGAUUCGUAGUGAGGAUGUAGGACGGCGGUUAGUCGCUACAAUUUUUCGUUUGAGGUUAGUUUUUGCUUCGGGAGGCGGAGGCUAUGAUAGCUCCGUCGUCGUCGUUUAAGAUUCCGGGAGGGUGGAGGCUUCCUCAGCUCUGCGUCGUCGGCAAAGUCUCCGGGAGGUGGAGGCUUACCCAGCUCUGCGUCGCCGGCUCGUGCUCCGAGGGGUGAAGGAUCUCUUUACCUUACCUCGUCGGCUCUUGUUUUUAAUCUAGAUUUGGUUUAGGGUUUGUCUUUUCUUUUUUUCUUGAGUUUGUCGGUUGAGCUCCGAGAGCGAUCUCUCGUGGUUGGAAGAGAGAGAGGUGUCUAAUGCAAGUUGGUGAUGUGCUGUGCGGCGGUGAUGUUCCUCGGGUGUUUUGCUCGAACGGUGGCGGAUGUGAUCUCGCUACGGCGAUUGAUCUAUCCGAUAAAGAUAAUACACGAGUAACUCACGGCUGCGGUCAAGAGGGUGUGGAGGUCAUGGAUUAGGCCGGUCACAGUGAUGCAUGUUCCUGUAAUGGCCGGUGAGACGCGUCCUCUCCGACGUAGGUGCUCCCGGUGGUGGCGACGUUGCGGGUUUGGGCCCUGAGCUAGGGCGAAUCGCUUGUUGUCGGAAAUGGGAUGUUUGGAUAAUGGGCUUGGGCCUAAUUUGUAUGGUUUCUUUUUAUGGGCUUUCGAUGUGGGCCUUCGGGUGUCUGUAAGCUUUCACUGGGCUUCGGCCGUUAUUCAAUUAAAAAUCUACUUAGACGGAAAAAAAAAUACAUGAAAACUUAUUUAAUUAGCUAAAUGGCUAUGGCUACUGUACACUUUUCAUAAUUCCAAUAAUAACCUUAUUGAAGCUCUCAUGUAUAGGUCUGACAAAAAUCUUGUCUUUAUCCUCCAAGCAGGCAUAUGAAUGAUUAUUGAGAAAUCGAACUAGUGAAAAUAAUAAUUUCAUCUCAUUUUUCUAUUUUUCUAAAGCUCUUAUUCCCCUUAAAGAGUUCUUUGAUUUUGAAAUAGUGUCUUCUUCCCAUCGUGAAGAGAUAUUAACAUAGUCUUUCGAUUCUAAAACAAUUUCCCUUUCGAUACCAAACCUUCAACAUAACAAUCCACAAUGACCACACCCGUCACCACCGAGCAAGCAACCAAGAUUAACAAAGCCGGUGUACGGUCGCCGGAGGAUCGUCAAACCGGUGUCGUCUCAGAAGGCGGAAGUGGAAGGGAGAAAGGAGAGGAAGGUGCGGACUGCGGAGACGGCAAUCGCGGUGUCUGUGGAUGAUGAGAGCGGAUAAAAUUUGGUUAGACAGCGAUCAUCAGCUACAAGAAAUGUUUCUCUUGGAUUCUCCUCAAACCAUUUCUUCAGGUAAAUCUGGUCUAAUGAUUUAAAUUGCAAAUAAAGAGUGAGCAUUUCUUUUUUUUUCUGUCUCUUAAUUAUUUCUGUUUUGUAGCAUUUUGGACAAAAUUGUAAUAUCACUAUGCCCUUAUAUAUGGUUUUGCAAAUAAAUAAAAUUAAUGCAUGAUCACCUAA